CAGAAGGGCACUGGGGAGUGGCAGCCUUCUGAAGCUGGCACCUCGUAACCACAGGCCCUGCCUGGAGCUUCCCCGGUCAGUCCAGGAGGUGAGCACCUGGAUGAGGGAUGGACAGUGAGCCCAGGGUCAGCCAACGUGUCCUGUCCAUCAGUCCCUGUGCCAUCAGCUCAUUUGUGUUCCUCUGUGCACUGGCACCAGGAAUAAAUGUGAAGAGAGUGUUGGAACCAGUUGAGAAUCCAUGUCCAGGUACCAGCUGGACCAUGUUACGCCUGUGUGGCUGGGGACCAGGGAGAUGGCAUAUCAGAGUGGGUAAAAGAACAGACCGGAGCCUGACUUCCUGGAUUCAAACCUCAGUCUCACCAACCAUUUCCCUCCAGGAACAGGCUGAUCACAGGUGGGGAACACACCUACAAAGUGUCCAUCACAGCUGACAAAGGAAUGGAACAGUAAAAGACCCUGGAGUCCAUCAGGACUGAAGUAAACCCCCUCCUUACUCCCCAUUUUGCCUAUAUCUUCCUCAAGAUUCUGCAGUCCUUGAAGAUGGGUUUUUGAGACAUUAGUCUUCCAUCUUCCUGAUUGUGACAGCUAAUUGAAUUAAAUCUUCCUUUCUUGAUCCCUAAUUCGUUGUGAUUAAUUGACUUCUCUGGAGUGAUGUUAUAGGCCAGUCUCUGUGAGAGGAUGGAGAAUUGGAGGAAGCCUCAGCCUGGUCCAGGGUCACCCUUCCAGUGGCCGAGAAGAUACUCCAAAGUAAGGGUCACCUGCUAUUUGGUCCUGAAGUCCCACAUGGACAGCAUGUGAGAAUGUGAACUCCAGGAAGUGUUGCCUAGUGCUGAGAAUACUGCACGGCCCAUACGGGUUCUCGGUAAAUAUCUGUGGAGUGAGUGGGUAAAGGAAAGAAGAAAUGAAAUCUUUAUCUUUCAAAUUAAG